AUACGUAGGGGGCGAGCGUUGUCCGGAAUGAUUGGGCGUAAAGGGCGCGUAGGCGGCCCGGUAAGUCUGGAGUGAAAGUCCUGUUUUUAAGAUGGGAAUUGCUUUGGAUACUGUCGGGCUUGAGUGCAGGGGAGGUAAGUGGAAUUCCCAGUGUAGCGGUGAAAUGCGUAGAGAUUGGGAGGAACACCAGUGGCGAAGGCGACUUACUGGACUGUAACUGACGCUGAGGCGCGAAAGUGUGGGGAGCAAACAGGAUUAGAUACCCUGGUAGUCCACACUGUAAACGAUGAAUGCUAGGUGUAGGGGGUAUCGACCCCUUCUGUGCCGCAGUCAACACAAUAAGCAUUCCGCCUGGGGAGUACGGCCGCAAGGUUGAAACUCAAAGGAAUUGACGGGG
rnacentral:rRNA from 1 species